CCAAUAGCGUAUAUUAAAGUUGUUGCAGUUAAAAAGCUCGUAGUUGAAUUUUGGAUUCUACCAUUUGGUCCAUCUUUUAGAUGAGUACUGGAUGUGUGGGGUCUAUCCGCCUGAUAAUACGUAAUGUUCUUUAUUGAAUGUUACGGGUAGUCAGGACUUUUACCUUGAAAAAAUUAGAGUGUUUAAAGCAGGCUUAUGCCGGAAUACAUUAGCAUGGAAUAAUAGAAUAGGACGAAGUUGUUUUAUUUUGUUGGUUUUUAGGACAACCGUAAUGAUUAAUAGGGAUAGUUGGGGGCAUUAGUAUUCAAUUGUCAGAGGUGAAAUUCUUGGAUUUAUUGAAGACUAACUACUGCGAAAGCAUUUGCCAAGGAUGUUUUCAUUAAUCAAGAACGAAAGUUAGGGGAUCGAAGACGAUCAGAUACCGUCGUAGUCUUAACCAUAAACUAUGCCGACUAGGGAUCGGGCGAUGUUGUUUCCAUGACUCGCUCGGCACCUUAUG
rnacentral:rRNA from 1 species